CUCUCUCUUCUCAAAUUUCAAUUUUUUUGCACUGUUACUUGUUCAAAAAAUUCUUCAUGAAGAUACACUUUAUGUUAAUUACUGUACUGUACUAUUUUAAUUAAAAAAUGGUUUCCUUUCGACAAUGAAACUAUUGUUCUGUUCAAUCAAGGCUGUCUUUGAACUCGGACAGACUCCUUAGCAGUCAUUCCAUGGAGUUUUCACUCUUCUCCUAGCCCAAAUUCUUAUGAAAAUAAUUUUUCUUAGCAGUAAAUUAUGUAUUCCUAGCCUCUAGGUGACUUGUCAUUAAUUUGAUAUUAGUUUAGUCUUUUAUGUGUAUAUUGUCUAAAUCAUUUAUAUGAAAUUGGUAUCUGCUAAUUUGUUCAAAAUAUGUGUUUAGUGUGUCACUUUCAUUGGGCUGUUUGGAUAUUAAAUGACAAUAACUGACCCCACUGAGAGGAAAAGUAAAGCCAAUUGCCCAUUGUUUUAUUUUGUAGUGGAAUGUAGAAAUGGGUAUUAAACUAAAAACAAAUU